CAUUUUUAUUAUGGAAGCUACUUUUCUUUACUAAGUUAUUUGACAAUCUACUCUCUUAUAUAGAUCACGUACCCCCAUCCUGAUGUCCACUUAUGUACAACUAUGCAGUUAAUUGUGCUCAUUCACUUUGGAGGACUCGCUCUUCCAACCCUAAAAACUUUAUAUGUGUAUUUAAAAAUUUAUUUAUCAUUUUUAAUUAUUUUAAUACAACAAAUAAAACAAAUAUAUUAGAAUCACAUAUAUUAAUAAUUAAACAUGCUGGCUGGAUGUCCCUUUUUCGGUUGAACUAUUGUACCGAUUUCUAUAAAUAGGGCAUCUUU
rnacentral:lncRNA from 1 species